GACCAUAACACUCUAUAUUUUUCAUAAAUACAGUCUUACCCCUAGAUGUACUAUAAUGUAGGUCUGUCUAAUUUGUUGUGUGAUUCAACUCGAAACAGAGCUUCUCUUGAAGUUUCUUCCUUUUAUCUCUGUUUUCUUUGGGUUGAUUAAUAAAUCGGCUUGUCCGAGUGUAAUAGUGUCGCCCCUUCCGCAAAUCAUUCAUAUCCCGUGUUAAUGGAGUUUAGUUUCUCAGAUGUAAAGGAUGGUUGCGUUUUUGGAUUCUCUCUCUCUCUCUCUCUCUCUCUCUCUCUCUCUCUUACUGAUUUGUUUGUUUUGGGAUUGGAGGAGGCAAAGCGUGCGUCCAUGGAGAUGGGAGACAUAUGUAAUGUGGUUGUCGUGAGCAAGAGGACACGUCUCGAGCUCGCAUCCGUCUCGACCCAUCGUCACCGGUCUCGAGCUUGCCACGUCACCACCGGUUUCGAGCUUGCCCCUGUCACCACCGGUCUCGAACUCGUCCCCGUCGUCAUCGGUAUCUGGUGCUGGGGAUGGAGACAGAACAGAGGAAGACAUCGAGAAGAAAGGCAAAGGAGGAAAGAGGAGGCGGCUCAUUGGAUUAUUGUGUCUUGAUAGUUGCAUCUUUAAGAAUAUUCAUCUUAAUUUAGCCUCUACUACCUACACUGCUUCAAAAAACCAGCUUCCAAAAAACUAGCUUUCCUAAACGUCACAGAGGAUUGUUAUGUCAUUUCUCAUAUUACAAGCUACUACAUCUGCAAAUACUUUUGAAUACCAACCGAUCACCUAAUUACCAUCCUCAUUUUGUAUAUACACCUAAAUGACCCUAAAAUUAUAUCAUUUUAGUGUAAUUUCAUCACUAAGAAAAAAGUUCAUCUCCAACCACAACAUCAAACUUAACAUUAAAAACUAUUUUAUAAUAUUAUAUAUAUUUAUGUUUUUAUUUGUCAUUUAUUUAAUUGAGUAUUUUAUUAAUAAAAUAAAUAGAUAAUGUUUUAUUGAGGUGAAUAGUGUUUUAGUGUGGUGAAUAGUGGUGUUGGUGUGAAAUUAUAGCGUAACACUAAAAUGGCGUGAAUUUUAGUGUUGGGUUGGAAAAUGUUUUUGUGUCAAAAUUACACUAAAUUAGAGUUCUAGUGUUGGGUUGGAGAUGGCCUACGACUUACCAAAAAUGUAUGGUGUCGACUAUUGAUGACAUGUUUCUUCUGAAAACUUAUCUUUUGAUUCCGAAUCACCAAAAUUUUAUAUCCGGCUAGAUAAAAACGUAUAAUCUCUCAAAAAUAACUAAGUCAAUAAAUAAAGCUUAACAUGAUGACCAAUUUUCUAUAAUAAUUUUAUGAAGGAAUGGUGAGGUUUGAAGUGAGAAGAUUGGCUCUGAUGUUAAGGUUCAAAAUCUGAAUAUACCAAGGUGAGAGCAUUUUUGUUCACUAUAAUUGUUUUUUGUUUAACUUAAGGUAAUCCGAGUCUAUGGAAGAAUUCAGAUUCAGUAGAUAUAUCAAACUUGAAAGUGUUAGCAUCCCAAACAUGUAUUCUUACCACUCGGCUACAAGUGUCAAGGUCCCAGACAAUAUACCAAAGUGAGAACAAUUUUAUAAUAUAUUGUUGGUGAAAAGGAUAAAUCUAUGGUAGUAAAGUUGUUAGAAAACAAAAUUUCUUGUUUGAAACAAAUAUAACAAAACGUUGAUAUUAUAACCAUACAUGUUUUAAAUCCAAAACGAUUUUAAGAUUGAAUUAAAUCAAAAUUAGGAGAUAAACAAAAACAAGAUGAGGAAAUUUAUUUCUUGAGAAUUAUUGAAAAUGCAUGCAGCAAACCAUAGAUAACAUGUUACUUAUAAAAUCUUAUAAUUUGAUUUUUCUUAAACAAAACGUUGUAUUUGGUAAGACAACCAAAGAUGAUAAUUGUGACAGUAGGUAGAAGACUUUGAAGAGAUCUUGUUCAUAUUGUAAAAAUAGCGUCAAGGAGCAAACAAUACAACUUGAGUGGUACCAAACUCAAAAAAAAAAGAGCUCUGUAAAAGAUUGAAACGAAGAGAAUAUGAACAUGUUUCUACAAAAAAGCAAUGAAAGAACACCGACAAACAUGGAGUUCCAUAAGAUCUAUGGCGAGUGACAUAACUAAAGGUGUUAGCAACAAUAGCACUGUCGAUUCAAAAUAACUCCGACGUUGUCAGUUAUGCUAUGUCAUAGAUCCCACAAGAACUAGAGACUUAAACAAAAACACAUCUAAUCUAUUAAGGGAGGCCUAUUGAAAAUAGAAUUUGUGUGGAGUUUAAAAAUUUUAAGAGUUAAUAGAUUUUUAAAAAUUAAGUAGAUUUGAUGAAUUCUUACCCAAUGUAUUGUAUACGUUGUCAUUAAUUAUUAUAGCUUUUCAUAUAUACUUUUCUUUCCAAACUUAUCUUUCUAUUAUUUAAAAAAAAAAAUUCUUUCAUAAAAUAGAACUAUUUGAAAAUUAAAUAAAAAUUUUGGUUUUUUAAUAUUUUGACAUUUUGAUUUGUCUUGUUUGAUUUUUGUUUUAAUGUUUUUAAGAUCAACCUAUGAAUUUUCUCAUGAUUUUAUUUUAAUAUCAAAUAGUUAUAUUUCAUGAAAUAUUUUUUUUUUAAAUUGUUAUUUUUAAUAAUUUCUUUUAUCUUUAGUUUUGUUUUUACAAUUAUCUUUGACUUGACAAUAAAAAUGUAA